GGGUUGUUCAUUUCUUGCAUCUCUGCUUUACGUCAAUUAUUUUUUCUUCAGAUAUUAAUUUAUCGACUUGAUUUGCUUUUACAGACAUGUGAAAACAAAAGACUUUAUUCUGAGCUCCUGUUGCAUGCGCUGGAGCUGCUGGCAUCAUCUGUGUUGCCAAACAAAUGAACACAGAAAAGGGCAGGUACCACGGAUGAUUCAUUUUCUGGUCAGACUGCACACAGAGAAGGGCACGUAUCUGGACGAAUUCUGUAGUUUCAUAGGAAUGUGGAUCUGCUAUAGUUUUCAUGUAUUGGUUGAUUCACCACGUAAUCCAAACAAAUGAACAUGCUGUCAUACUUGAAGCCAGUUUUCUUCUGGCUCGUUCAAUGAAAUUGUGACACAAUAUACAACCAAUCAAUUUGACUUUAUUCGACCAAAAGAAAAAAAAAAUCAAUUGACUUUAUAUUAUUUAUUGUAACCUACUUAGUUUCUUGGAUUCGAUUUGAAGAGCUAACAGAAA